GACCAUUGACAAAGUGCCGGCUACGGAGAGAAGCGACAGAUCGUAAAGACGCCGUCAAUACAUCCAUGUAGGCUCGUGCCGCGCCAUCCUAGGCCGCGAACGCUUU
rnacentral:ncRNA from 1 species